AUGGAUGUGUUUCUCAUGAUCCGGCACAAGAAGACCACCAUCUUCACUGAUGCCAAGGAGUUGAGCACAGUGUUGGAGCUCAAGCGCAUAAUUGAGGGCAUCAUGAAGAGGCCUCCUGAGGAGCAGCUGCUGUUCAAGGACAAUCAGCUCCUUGUUGAGACAAAAACUCUGGGUGAAUGUGGCUUCACUAGUCAGGUAGCAAGGCCAGAGGCCCCAGCCACAGUGGGCCUGGCCUUCAGAACAGGAGAUGUCUUUGAAGGCCUGGAGAUCCACCCCUAUUCUUGUCCUCCACCUCUUCCAGACCUGAGGAAGGAUUCUGGAAACAGUGCUAAGGAACAAGUUGUGUAG